UCGGCAUCGACCAGAGGGAAAAGGAGCAAUCCGCUUUGAGAUGGCCUCGCGUCCGAUUAGCUAGUUGGUGAGGUAAUGGCCCACCAAGGCGACGAUCGGUAGCCGGACUGAGAGGUUGAACGGCCACAUUGGGACUGAGACACGGCCCAGACUCCUACGGGAGGCAGCAGUGGGGAAUAUUGCACAAUGGGGGAAACCCUGAUGCAGCGACGCCGCGUGGAGGAAGAAGGUCUUCGGAUUGUAAACUCCUGUUGUUGGGGAAGAUAAUGACGGUACCCAACAAGGAAGUGACGGCUAACUACGUGCCAGCAGCCGCGGUAAAACGUAGGUCACAAGCGUUGUCCGGAAUUACUGGGUGUAAAGGGAGCGCAGGCGGGAAGACAAGUUGGAAGUGAAAUCUAUGGGCUCAACCCAUAAACUGCUUUCAAAACUGUUUUUCUUGAGUAGUGCAGAGGUAGGCGGAAUUCCCGGUGUAGCGGUGGAAUGCGUAGAUAUCGGGAGGAACACCAGUGGCGAAGGCGGCCUACUGGGCACCAACUGACGCUGAGGCUCGAAAGUGUGGGUAGCAAACAGGAUUAGAUACCCUGGUAGUCCACACCGUA
rnacentral:rRNA from 1 species